ACGGAAUAGAUACCCUGGUAGUCCCAGCCGUAAACGAUGCUCGCUAGGUGUCAGGCAUGGCGCGACCGUGUCUGGUGCCGCAGGGAAGCCGUGAAGCGAGCCACCUGGGAAGUACGGCCACAAGGCUGAAACUUAAAGGAAUUGGCGGGGGAGCACAACAACGGGUGGAGCCUGCGGUUUAAUUGGACUCAACGCCGGACAACUCACCGGGGGCGACAGCAAUAUGUAGGCCAAGCUGAAGACUUUGCCUGAAUCGCUGAGAGGAGGUGCAUGGCCGUCGCCAGUUCGUACUGUGAAGCAUCCUGUUAAGUCAGGCAACGAGCGAGACCCGUGCCCACUGUUACCAGCAUGUCCUGGUAGU
rnacentral:rRNA from 1 species